AGGCCCUUUCGGGGGUACACGAGUGGCGAACGGGUGAGUAACACGUGGGUAAUCUGCCCUGCACUUCGGGAUAAGCCUGGGAAACCGGGUCUAAUACCGGAUAUGAGCUCCUGCCGCAUGGUGGGGGUUGGAAAGUUUUUCGGUGCAGGAUGAGUCCGCGGCCUAUCAGCUUGUUGGUGGGGUAAUGGCCUACCAAGGCGACGACGGGUAGCCGGCCUGAGAGGGUGAUCGGCCACACUGGGACUGAGACACGGCCCAGACUCCUACGGGAGGCAGCAGUGGGGAAUAUUGCACAAUGGGCGAAAGCCUGAUGCAGCGACGCCGCGUGGGGGAUGACGGUCUUCGGAUUGUAAACUCCUUUCAGUAGGGACGAAGCGAAAGUGACGGUACCUGCAGAAGAAGCACCGGCCAACUACGUGCCAGCAGCCGCGGUAAUACGUAGGGUGCAAGCGUUGUCCGGAAUUACUGGGCGUAAAGAGCUCGUAGGCGGUUUGUCACGUCGUCUGUGAAAUCCUCCAGCUCAACUGGGGGCGUGCAGGCGAUACGGGCAGACUUGAGUACUACAGGGGAGACUGGAAUUCCUGGUGUAGCGGUGAAAUGCGCAGAUAUCAGGAGGAACACCGGUGGCGAAGGCGGGUCUCUGGGUAGUAACUGACGCUGAGGAGCGAAAGCAUGGGGAGCAAACAGGAUUAGAUACCCUGGUAGUCCAUGCCGUAAACGGUGGGCGCUAGGUGUGGGGU
rnacentral:rRNA from 1 species